GUUAGGAAUAUUGGACAAUGGGCGAAAGCCUGAUCCAGCCAUGCCGCGUGAACGAUGAAGGCCUUCGGGUUGUAAAGUUCUUUAGCCGAUGAUUAUAAUGACUGUAGUCGGAAAAUAAGCCCCGGCUAACUUCGUGCCAGCAGCCGCGGUAAUACGAAGGGGGCGAGCGUUAUUCGGAAUCACUGGGCGUAAAGCGUGCGUAGGCGGUUUUGUAAGUUAGGAGUGAAAGCCCAGGGCUCAACCUUGGAAUUGCUCUUAAAACUGCAAGGCUCGAGUCUCGGAGAGGAUAGCGGAAUUUCCAGUGUAGCAGUGAAAUGCGUAGAUAUUGGAAGGAACACCAGUGGCGUAAGCGGCUAUCUGGACGAGUAUUGACGCUGAGGCACGAAAGCGUGGGGAUCAAACAGGAUUAGAAACCCUAGUAGUCC
rnacentral:rRNA from 1 species